UACGAAGGGGGCUAGCGUUGCUCGGAAUCACUGGGCGUAAAGGGGUGCGUAGGCGGCGCGGUAAGUCGGGUGUGAAAUCUCGGGGCUUAACUCCGAAACUGCAUUCGAUACUGCCGUGCUUGAGGACUGGAGAGGAGACUGGAAUUUACGGUGUAGCGGUGAAAUGCGUAGAUAUCGAUAAGGAAGACCAGUGGCGGAAGGCGG
rnacentral:rRNA from 1 species